UACGUAGGGGGCAAGCGUUGUCCGGAUUUAUUGGGCGUAAAGAGCGUAUAGGCGGCCAUGCAGGUCAGCUGUGAAAACUCGAGGCUCAACCUCGAGACGUCGGUUGAAACCGCUUGGCUAGAGUCCGGAAGAGGAGAGUGGAAUUCCCGGUGUAGCGGUGAAAUGCGCAGAUAUCGGGAAGAACACCCGUGGCGAAGGCGGCUCUCUGGGACGGUACUGACGCUGAGACGCGAAAGCGUGGGGAGCAAACAGG
rnacentral:rRNA from 1 species